rnacentral:lncRNA from 1 species
UGCCUUUUUACAGCUGGUUUAUUCAAGUCAAGAUCCAAAAAAGAUACGCACACAUGUUUAACUAGCAUAUUUCUUAAAUGUCUUUAAAUCUAUACCUAGAUCAGUGCCAUUUUUUCAUGUCAUUUAGCUGUUGAACGAACCAGGUACUGUGUCCUGCGGCAUAUCCUACCUUCUGGGUUUGACUGAUUGAAUCUUUGUGGAUGUCCCUCUGCCUCUGUCUUUCCUGAACUCUGGUAGUUGAGAUCAGGACUGGAGAUUUCUUAGGCAGGAAGAAUCCAUAGGUGGGUACUUCCUAUCGCACCUCGAAGGAGACACAAAGUGUCCAGCUGUCCCACUUUUACUGGUGUUAAACUUCAUCCACCAGAUAGUGCACCCAUUAUAAAAUUCUGUCCACUAAUGAUUUGUGCUGAGAUCCACUUCUCAUUAGGGGCUGCCAAGUAGUGCUUUUCUAUCAUUCUUUCUGCACUUGUUAGCCGAAGGUUCUCUGUCGUGAAGAUAUUUCCCUUGUCAACUAUUUGGCUUGGAUGGAAAGGCUGGAUCAAUGUUUGAUUCUUUAUUUUUCAUCUUCAUAAUAAUGAGCUAGCUCCUCGGCACCCCGGGGGAAGUUGUCUUCAAAUGCUGCCUUGAAGCAUAGAAUAUUUAAUUCUAAUGGAUAUGGGAGGGAAGGGCCUUCCAAGCCGAGGGAAGAGCUUGAGCAAAGGCUCAGAGGCAGGAGAAUGCAGGGUGUUUAGAGAACAGCAGAGCUCCGUAGCACGUGCAACAAGAGGCUUUUUGAGUGAGGACCCUGAGCACGAUAUGGUGGGAAAGCAGGGGAGAGGUCAGGAUUGCUGGUUUGACUCCCAGCCAUGGGCAAAAGGUUCUCCCCUUGUCUAUACAAUGAGGACAUCUCUCUAGAUCAGUGGCUUUCCAACGUUUCUGGCCCCAGUUCACUUUAAUAAAUACAUUUUAUACUCUGACCCAGUAAGUGCAUCUGUGUGUAUAAAAACCAACAGAAAUUUCAAAAAGAACUCAGUUGACUUUUACAUACAAUGUAUGUGGGUCUAUUCUAUUCUAUUUCAUUCAGUGUCAUCCUGUUGAAAUAAAUGUUGGUUAUGACCACUGAAUUGAACUCAGUCUCACAGAUUGUCGGCAACCUUAGUCUGGGUGGCUCCUGGGGCUCUAUUUCCACUCCAGCCCUUUCUGGUUGAUCCCUGGUCUUGGUGACAACCUGACGCAGCACCAGGCUCUGGAGAAGAGGGACAACAUGAGAAGAGAAGCUGAUCACUUGCAGGAGGCUCCUGAGCUGAACAUGAGGCAAAAGCCAGGCCAAACUCAGAGGCUGUGGCCCCAGCCAGGCCACCCUCACCUUCAGAGUCUUGACCCCCCAGACCACACUACCGGACACCUGCUGGCCCUGUUUCCACAACAGACUGGCUCAGCCACACCCAGGCCCACAGGGCUCAGAGGCCUGCUCCCUGUUGAUCGUGUCAACUUUGAAAGGCCUUCAAGUUUAUCCCUAAACAAAGCCCUCCAGUUUAGCCCUAAAGAGCCAGGUGUUAACCUAACAGGAAGCAAUUUGGAAGGUCAAAGUCAAGUAGACGGAGAAGAGUGUUGAGAGUCCUGGGGUGACAACACCUGGGUCCCCUGCUCACCUGAGCCACAGACUCGCCAGGUAACUGGGCCAGCGUCCCUCCUGCCCACGCCUUGCUUGCCGCACUCUUAAAGAAGAUGCAUCCCCUUCUCUUGGAGGGAAUGACAAUGACCAGAUCACAACUGAGCUGAGCAAUUUGGGGAAAUUUGGGCAGGGGGUAGAGUUGGCAGAACUGGUUUGUAAACAGGGCUCUGGAAGACCUUCCUCUAACUGUGGGGAGUGGGGGAGGGGUUUCUCUCCCUCUUAGGCACUCUCUUCUCUGCUGUUUUCUCUAUUUCUCUCUUCGCUGUCACUCCCAUUACCGUCCUCAUCUUAUCUCCCCCUUUUCUCUCCUUCUCUCUCUCUCUGUUUAAUAACAGCUUUAUUGAGAGAUAAUUUACAGGAUGUGAGAUUUACCCUUUUGUACAAUUCACCAUGUGUACAUUUCAGUGUUGUUCAGUGUAUUCACAGGGUUGCAGAACCAUCACUGCUGUCUUAUUUUAUUUUUUUGGCACUUUUUGGUAGAGACAGGGUUUUGCCACGUUGGCCAGGCUAGUCUCAAACUCCUGACCUCAAAUGAUCUGCCCGCCUCGGCCUCCCAAAGUGCUGGGAUUACAGGCAGCUGCUCCCAACCCCAGAACCUUUGCUGUCUUGGGACGGAUCACCGCUGCAAGAGGGGAAGUUGCUACUGUGAUGAAUUCUGCCAUGUGGCACCAGACUGCCACCCAGACCACAGUGUCCUCUGCAACCCUGGUCAAAGGUGCCUACAUGCUCCUUCUAGCUUUGUUUCCCUGAUGUUCCUUGCCACCUGCUACUCCUCUCUGAGCUACUUUUCCAGGUUCCACAGGGAGAGGUUCAGCUGUCCGUGGUAGACAUGAGGCUUCUCAGAUGACCAAGAUGGUGCUGCAGAUGGUGCUGAGGAUGGAGAACCCACCAAGCCCCGCUAGGAGCCACCUAGACUGGAUGCAGAGCAUGAGAAGGCUUCCAAUGACUCGAGCCCCUUUAAAGGAUCCGGAACAAAGGGGCCACUCACCCCUUCCAGGGUGCUCUGUUUUCUUUGUGGAGUUUCAAGAGUGAUGGGCGGAUUCUUCUUAGGUCUAAAGCUCUGCUGUCUUCCUGUACGGCAUGACCUGACCUCUUUGGCUUUGGGGGAACCAGAGAUGACCCUGCACUGUGAGAGGAUUUGACCUUGGCGUGUGUAAUGGCAGACGAGAACUACAAAGAAGGGGUGGCUGAGCACAGUUUACAGGGAAUGGUCUUGGCUGUUUUUUUGUUUUUUUUUUUUUCUCUUCUAGGAAGCUGUGAUUUAAGGAUCCUAAUUCUAGUUCAGAGAUGCAUCCUAAAGGGUCUUCUCUAUUGCUUUUUCUCCCAAAAUGAAUCUCAGUUUGGGUUGUCUAUGUAUUUGCAUGAGGAACUGAACUGUUGUUGUCAUAGGUAAAUGAGAGAUUGAGUUUUCUCAGCUCCAAAGAGAAAGGGCGUUUGCUCCUCCCAGCCGAGUACUCCAUAGGGUUCAUGGCGCCUCUACUUGCCAGAGUUUAUGUAAAGUGGAAGUAAUAUGGUCUUUCUGCACAUUUACAUUAAAAAAAAAGGAGCCCUGAGGUUGACCUGCAAACUGUAGAGUUCCUGAGUCCUCUUUUUUCUCUAGUUUCUUCUCUGCCUGCUUUAAAUUUGCUGUUAUUUUUCUAUUAAGAUAAAAAACACUGUUUGGAUCAGAUAGUUUUUCUGUUUGUAAACUGGUGAAUUUGUAUUUA